UGGAAACUGAAAAUUAGUUGAGUAAAAUAUUAUAGCACGAACCACGGUGACGCAGGAACGACAACAAUGUCUUGACCUGAGAAGCGCACCACCACGCCAAUGACCGGAACGACAACGACGUCACGAACUCUGGCAACAACGACGGCGUGGCGAACAGAGAGAACGACAGCGCCGUACGAACAGAGAGAGCCGCCCGCGAGGAGAGGGAGAGGAGAAGAAGGAACCUAAAUGCGAUAGUAACAUUGAGAAGUAAGUUGGAUUAGUGAUGUUGAUGUGUAAUCGGUGGUUAGGAAGAACAAGGGAUCGUUACUGUUACCACGGUGAGUUUCUGAUCCGAUGGAUGACGAGCAGCAGGAGGGUCCAAGAUAGGAGCAAGAAGAAGAGGGUUCACGACCUUGAAGUCGUAACCGAGAAAUGGAAGAUAGUCUCCAAAAUCAUUUACUUAAUGGAGCUUCUGAAGCAAGAGCCCGAAAUGAUUAUUCCUGUUCGCUCCCUAGAGAAUCACCGCAGGCAAAUCAACCUCCCUAAGCCCCACCGAAUCUCUGAUUUCCUCCGCAAAACCCCCAAACUCUUUGAACUCUACAAGGACCAAAAGGGGGUCCUAUGGUGCGGCAUGACCCCAAAAGCCGAGGACUUGAUGGAACAACAGCAAAGGGUCAUCGAGGAUCAUGCUGACAAGGCUGCGGAAUAUGUUACAAGGUUUCUCAUGAUGUCAGUGGAGAAACGUCUUCCGUUGGAGAAGAUUGCUCACUUUAGAAGAGAUUUUGGGUUGUCCUUGGAUUUUAGAGUCCAUUGGGUGCACAAGUAUCCUCAACAUUUUAAGGUGGUGAAAACACUUGAUGGGAUUGAGUUUUUGGAGCUUGUGUCUUGGAAUCCUGAAUGGGCAAUUACUGAGUUGGAGAAGAAGGUGGUGAGAGGAGUAGCUGGAAGUGGAAGUGAAAGUGAAUUCCCUGGCGUGCUUUCAGUUCCGUUCCCUUUGAAGUUUCCUUCAAAUUAUAAGAGGGUAUAUCGGUACUAUGCUGAAAAGAUUCAGCAUUUUCAGGAGAUGUCUUAUUUGUCUCCCUAUGCAGAUGCCCGUGGACUUAAAGCUGGUUCUUUGGAGUUUGAUAAAAGGGCUGUUGCUGUUAUGCAUGAACUGCUUAAUUUCACUAUUGAGAAGAGGUUGGUCACUGAUCACCUUACUCACUUUCGUUGGGAGCUUGUGAUGCCUCAGAAGUUGAUGAGGCUUCUGCUGAAGCAUUGUGGGAUCUUCUAUGUGUCAGAGAGGGGGAAGAGGUUUAGUGUGUUUUUGACUGAGGCUUAUGAGGGUUCUGAGCUCAUUGAGAAAUGUCCCUUGGUGCUAUGGAAGGAGAAGGUCCUAGGGCUUGUGGGUUACAGAGGGAGGAAGAAGAAGUUAGAGGUUUGUAGUGAGGGGUCUGAUGCGGAAUGUUAUGAUGAUUUGGUUUCGGACCAGUGUGAUUCUGAAAUGGGGGAGUUGCAUGUGCAGAUUGAUCAAACUGGUACCUUGGAUUAUGAGGAUCCUUUACUUGAGGAUGAUCUUGAGAUGGAUGUUGGAGAGAUUGCUCACACUUAUCGAAAAUUUGAAAACUCAUGAGUGGCCAUUGGCUCACUUGUCAGGGGCUGCUGAAUAUGCUUUCAAGACCUCUGAUGAGAUGAGGAAUAAUGGAGUUAGACCUGAGGAGGUUCAGUCUUUAUUUGUUACGUUGUUAUGUAGCUGUGUCUUGAUGGAAUUCAUUUGUUAGCCAUAUUCAGAGUGUGUUGGGUGCAUCCUAGGUCCUUGGGCCAGUCUUGUGUGAUCAGUUUUGCUGGUUCAUGUGAGCAGUUUUAUGGAAAACAUCUGUAUGCUUAGAAUUUUAUACACACGAGUCUUGAAGAAAACCUGGAGCUUGACACUGCGCCUUCAUUAAAGCCAUGCUUGAAGCAGGUUAAUAUUAAGUAUCUUGCAUGAACAGGAUAGAUAUAAUGAAACAGGAGGCUUGCAGCAAAUUGAAUUUUGCAUCCAGUAUUUUUUACCUAAAAAGUUCUUCUGGUGUUGCUCCAUCAAUUGAAGCAUCCAACACAAUGAUAAGAUGAAUUUGAUUUUGUUUUACCAGAUUUUCAUCACAAAAUCUCCAGUUUUUGUCAUUUUUUUUGUUUCAUGUUUAUGAUCUCUUUGCUCAUUAACUUAUAUAUUGCUCUAAAGAAAC